GAAUUGCAUUCGAUACUGUCUGGCUAGAGUUUGGUAGAGGGUGGUGGAAUUCCAGGUGUAGCGGUGAAAUGCGUAGAUAUCUGGAGGAACAUCAGUGGCGAAGGCGACCACCUGGACCAAAACUGACGCUGAGGUGCGAAAGCGUGGGGAGCAAGCAGGAUUAGAUACCCUGGUAGUCCACGCCGUAAACGAUGAGAACUAGCCGUCGGGCUCUUUAUGAGCUUGGUGGCGCAGCUAACGCGUUAAGUUCUCCGCCUGGGGAGUACGGCCGCAAGGUUAAAACUCAAAGGAAUUGACGGGGGCCCGCACAAGCGGUGGAGCAUGUGGUUUAAUUCGAUGCAACGCGAAGAACCUUACCUGCCCUUGACAUCCUCAGAAUUUGUCAGAGAUGA
rnacentral:rRNA from 1 species